rnacentral:rRNA from 1 species
UACGAAGGGGGAGCUAGCGUUGUUCGGAAUCACUGGGCGUAAAGCGUACGUAGGCGGAUUGUUAAGUCAGGGGUGAAAUCCCGAGGCUCAACCUCGGAACUGCCUUUGAUACUGGCUGUCUUGAGUCCGGGAGAGGUGAGUGGAACUCCUAGUGUAGAGGUGAAAUUCGUAGAUAUUAGGAAGAACACCAGUGGCGAAGGCGGCUCACUGGCCCGGAACUGACGCUGAUGUACGAAAGCGUGGGGAGCAAACAGG